rnacentral:rRNA from 1 species
AAACCAGCACCUCAAGUGGUCAGGAGGAUUAUUGGGCCUAAAGCAUCCGUAGCCUGCUCUGUAAGUUUCCGGUUAAAUCCAUUAGCUCAACUAAUGGCCUGCCGGAAAUACUGUAGAGCUAGGAAGUGGGAGAGGUAGACGGUACUCGGUAGGAAGGGGUAAAAUCCUUUGAUCUAUUGAUGACCACCUGUGGCGAAGGCGGUCUACCAGAACACGUUCGACGGUGAGGGAUGAAAGCUGGGGGAGCAAACCGGAUUAGAAACCCCGGUAGUCC